AAAACAUGACUUUGGUCUCCGUCCUCAUCUGGACUCUCCUCUGCUGCUGCUUCACAGAGUCCAGAGGCCAGAUCACAGUGACUCAGCCUGGAGCAGUGAGCUCUGCUCUGGGAGCCUCCGUCUCCAUCAGCUGUAGCGUCAGUCAGCAGGUGGAAGUGGGAUUAUCAAGUGGUAAAGAUCUGUUACAUUGGUACCAACAGAGAGGAGAAGAAGCUCCUAAACUGCUCAUUUAUAGGGUUAAUGAGCGAGAAUCAGGGAUUCCAGGUCGUUUUUCUGGCAGUGGAUCUGGGACUGACUUCACUCUGACCAUCAGUGGAGUUCAGGCUGAAGAUGCAGCAGUUUACUACUGUCAGAGUUAUCAUUAUAUCAACAGUCAGGAUGUGUUCACACAGUGAAAAAGCGUCGUACAAAAACCUCCCUCAGUCAGACUGAACAGAAACUGAACUGACUGCUGCAGCUGGAAGCUACUGCAGAGACUGAUACAGUUCACUGAGGA